rnacentral:rRNA from 1 species
UACGUAGGCAGCAAGCGUUGUUCGGAAUUACUGGGCGUAAAGAGUGUGUAGGCGGUGCUCUAAGUCCGGUGUGAAAGUCACAGGCUCAACCUGUGAAUGCCGCUGGAAACUGUCUGGCUAGAGUCCGGAAGGGGCGAGUGGAAUUCCUGGUGUAGCGGUGAAAUGCGCAGAUAUCAGGAGGAACACCAAUGGUGAAGGCAGCUCGCUGGGACGGUACUGACGCUGAGGCGCGAAAGCGUGGGGAGCAAACAGG